CGGUCUCUGCUGUGCGCCUGGUCGUCGGAUAAGAUGGAGGUGAAGAGACGUCCUGCUCGCGCUGAAGUCAGUGGCGUUUGUGAAGAAUUCAAAUGAGAACCAAGUGUUUUUUAAACGUCCAGAACCGAAUCAGGAGCGAGGUUCUGUGGUUGUUUCUGUGGGACCGGGACGGACCGGAAGGCGGCAGGACCAGAAGCUCGGUGCCUAGCACGUGGCAUGGCGACCGGGCUGGAUGAUGUCUUCAUUCAGGCUCAAGAUCUGAGAGAAGAUCCAGACUGAAGUCAUCAGACUGGUGGACCAGAUGGUCACAUUUUAAACUGCAUACAGGACGAUGCUGCGAACACAUGUCUGAGUUUGUGUGGGAGAUGAUCAGAUGACCCUGAAGAGGAAGAUGAGGAUGUCCAUCAGGGGUCAGCAGAUGGAAGGGGACCCUCCAGGUCACACACACGGAUGGCGGCUGGCCAGUCAUGUUCAUAUGUGAGGACUCAGGACUGCAGCUUCUGGUCGUCGCGGUAACGGGGAGGAUGGUCUUGUACUUCUGAAAAGUUACAACCUGGAAGUGUUUAAAUUCCAUGUUUUAUUUUUUUACGAAUGUCAGACAUGUUGAUUUUGUAUGUGAAAUAAAGUAUUAAACUCAGG